GUUUACUCCAGGGGCGUCUGGUGUCCCUUAAACAUCGGCACACCACGCCCUUCCCCAUGGGCAGCUGCCUUGAUGGCCCAGCUCUUCAUCUGGCUUUGGCUGCUCCAACUGUUCACAUGUAUUUAAUGCUCCCAACAAUGCUAAGAAAAUAAGUCAUAUUAUUAUACCCAUUUUACAGAUGAAGAAAUUGAGACUUAGAUUAAGCAACUUGCCCAAGGACAAACCGACCGGAAAGCAAAGGAGCCAUGGUUAGACCAGAACUUCCAAGCCUGUGUUCUUACGUAUGUCGUUGUCUACUGACUCCUCUAGAAAAGAAAAAUCCCAAAGGAAAUGAAAUUAAGCUGUUUCCCAGAUUCGCUCUUCAAAAUUAGUCCUGGGCUGGCCUUCAAUACUGCAAACACAUUCUGUGUGGCCACAAGGGAGGACUGCAUAGAAUUCUUGGACCAACUACGAAGCUUUGGGGGCCUGACAAGCUGAGAAAGUGCGAGAAAAAAUGACACAGAUCAAAUCCGACCAGACUUGCCGCCAGCAGGCCAGCCCAUGGAAGCCAGUGGCUUGGUGCUCAACUUCAGCUGCUGGCAGAAAGGAGAAAAAGACAUCACCCAUCCGAAAAAUUUUAAUCCCCCAGCAAAAUACAAUACUCAAUUUUUCAUUAACCUUCUGACACCUGGACUCACAGAGUAUCCCCACACUAAUCACUAAUGGGUUUUGCAUUACCAAUUAGUGUAGCAAAUUCUCCAGCAUUGGUGCCAAAGGGUUAAUCAUUAGUUUCACACCACUGGGUGGUCAGAGUCAGAAGAGCAGCCCCUGAACCCAAAAGAGUGGAGAGUGAGGGGCUGGGGGGUGGAGAGAGCUCUCAUUAUCAAGAAGAAACAUGCAGCUCAUAGGCAUUGACCUCCAUAUCUCUCUCCUGGCAUCUUGCCUCAAGGUGGAUUUAAGUAUUAUACAAGUAUGCACGUGUGCACACACAUGCACACAUGUUUAGACACAGUUCUGGGCCCAGAACAAAUCACCAACCUAGCCAGUUUCUAUUGAGUCUGUCCCAUCAAAGGUAGAUCAGGCCAGAGGAAUUCUCUCUCUCUCUCUCUCUCUCUCUCUCUCUCUCUCUCUCUCUCAGCACCUCUGUCUCUUUGCUUCUCUAAGCAAUGACUUUCCCAUGGGAAUGAAAAAAUUUGCCAUUUCAGAGGGAGCUGGGUUUUGAGAAGUGUUUGAUCUCUCUUAAGAGAUACUUCUCUGAAGUUCUGCCAACCCUCGAUUAUCUGUACAAAUGAGGCUUACAGAAAGUAUGGAAAGAUUCGAUUCACAGAUAAUCUUCAAACUCCGGUUUGGUCUAUAUCUUAGUUUCUUUCUGAACAAAUUGUACCAGGGCAAUUAACAAACAAAACUGAUUGGAUGUUUCCUUUCUCCUUUUAUGGUCAAUUUUGUGGAUGUCAGCAGCAUGAGGAAAUUGUCAAAACACUGGCAAAGGGGAGAGAGGAAAGGGAAGAAACAAAAUACCCAGAUAGUCUGCAAGCUAGAUAAUCUGCUCCUGAAUAAUUGAGAAGAAUCUAAUUUCAAAGAUAAUAAAAGAAGGCUCAGAGAGCA
ensembl:lncRNA